UACGUAGGUGGCAAGCGUUGUCCGGAUUUACUGGGUGUAAAGGGCGUGUAGCCGGGCUGACAAGUCAGAUGUGAAAUCCGGGGGCUCAACCCCCGAACUGCAUUUGAGACUGUUGGUCUUGAGUAUCGGAGAGGCAGGCGGAAUUCCUAGUGUAGCGGUGAAAUGCGUAGAUAUUAGGAGGAACACCAGUGGCGAAGGCGGCCUGCUGGACGACAACUGACGGUGAGGCGCGAAAGCGUGGGGAGCAAACAGG
rnacentral:rRNA from 1 species